GUUUGAUCAUGGCUCAGGAUGAACGCUAGCGGCAGGCCUAAUACAUGCAAGUCGAACGGUGUCUUCGGACAUAUUGGCGCACGGGUGCGUAACACGUAUGCAACCUACCUUACAUUGGGGGAUAGCCUUUCGAAAGGGAGAUUAAUACCGCAUAAGACAGUAAAUGGGCCUCCAUUAGCUGUUAAAGAUUUAUCGAUGUAAGUUGGGCAUGCGACCAAUUAGUUAGAUGGCGAGGUAAUGGCUCACCAAGACUAUGAUUGGUACGAGAACUGAGGGGUCAAUCCCCCACACUGGCACUGAGAUACCGGCCAGACUCCCACGGGAGGCACCAGUAGGGAAUAUUGGGAAAUGGACGCAAGUCUGACCCACCCAUGCCGCGUGCAGGAUGAAGGCGUUAUGCGUCGUAAACUGCUUUUAUACUGGAGGAAACGACUCUUGCGAGAGGCUUGACGGUACUGUAUGAAUAAGCACCGGCUAACUCCGUGCCAGCAGCCGCGGUAAUACGGACGGUGCAAGCGUUGUCCGGAUUUAUUGGGUUUAAAGGUUGCGCAGGUGGUUCAUUAACUCAGUGGUGAAAGACAGUCGCUCAACAAUUGCAGUGCCAUUGAAACUAGUACACUUGAGUAAAGUAGAGGUGGGCGGAAUUGAUAGUGUAGCGGUGAAAUGUAUAGAUAUUUAUCUAGAACUCCAAUUGCGAAAGCAGCUCUCUUGGCUUUUACUGACACUUCUGCACCAGAGUGUGAGUAUCAAACAGGAUUAGAUACCCUGGGGAGUCCACACUGUAAACGAUGAUAACUAAGUGUCUGCCGAAUCUGGGCGGGGGCACCGCGGACGCGUUAAGUAACCCACCUGGGGAAUACGCCCGCCACGGGGAAACUUCACAGGAAUUGAC
rnacentral:rRNA from 1 species